GUCUACAGAUUAAAGAGUCAAGUCAAAAUAAAACCAACACUUCAUGCUAGUGUCUUGCUGCAAUCCUCAACUUGCACACCCUGUGGCUCUCGUGUUGGGAUCAAUCCUACAGCUUUCCUUAAACAAUUAUAAACUUCUUCACCAAGAACCACUGAAGAUGUGCUCUUGCAAGGUUGCAGUGUUUGAACCAGAAACAUGCAUGGUCCUUUGGCCAUCGAGAUUUCUCUGGAUAUUUUAUGAGUAGUGGUGGACAGGGACAACUUGACGUUAGAAAUUACAGAGAAAGUUUGUCACAUGCAAGCUUGCUGCAAAGUCUCUGACAUGUGGUAAUCAUGACAACUGGAUUUCAUUUACUCUAAUACACUAUGAAAUGGCUACACCUGGACAGCAGGUGGAACUAACAGAAAUGGAUGUAACCACCAUUGAAUGGCUGAAAGAUGACUUCCAUCUCCCU
rnacentral:lncRNA from 1 species